GUAUUAUAUUAAAAAAUACGUGAUAUAGUGUCGGAUAAUGGCCGACUGUUUCUACCCAGCACCGAUGUUGGACUAUCACAAAUGCGGGAUCUGUC
rnacentral:ncRNA from 1 species